UACGAAGGGGGCUAGCGUUGUUCGGAAUUACUGGGCGUAAAGGGCGCGCAGGCGGCCCUCCAAGUCAGGCGUGAAAGCCCCGGGCUCAACUCCGGAACUGCCAUUGAAACUGUUUAGCUUGAGGAUGAGAGAGGUGAGUGGAAUUCCCAGUGUAGAGGUGAAAUUCGUAGAUAUUGGGAAGAACACCGGUGGCGAAGGCGGCUCACUGGCUCAUUACUGACGCUCAGGCGCGAUAGCGUGGGGAUCAAACAGG
rnacentral:rRNA from 1 species